GGGUACUCGAGUGGCGAACGGGUGAGUAACACGUGGGUAACCUGCCCCCAUCUCUGGGAUAACCGUUGGAAACGGCGGCUAAUACCGGAUACGACCGAGUUCCGCAUGGUUCUCGGUGGAAAGUUUUUGCGGUUGGGGAGGGGCCCGCGGCCUAUCAGCUUGUUGGUGCGGUAGUGGCGCACCAAGGCUUUGACGGGUAGCCGGCCUGAGAGGGCGGUCGGUCACAUUGGGACUGAGAUACGGCCCAGACUCCUACGGGAGGCAGCAGUGGGGAAUUUUGCACAAUGGGCGCAAGCCUGAUGCAGCGACGCCGCGUGAGGGAUGACGGCUUUCGGGUUGUAAACCUCUUUUAUCCACCACGAAGGCUCCGUAUUCGCGGGGUUGACGGUAGUGGUUGAAUAAGCGCCGGCUAACUACGUGCCAGCAGCCGCGGUAAGACGUAGGGCGCGAGCGUUGUCCGGAUUUAUUGGGCGUAAAGGGCUCGUAGGCGGUUGAUUGCGUCCGCCGUGAAAGGCCUCGGCUUAACCGGGGUUUUGCGGUGGAUACGGGUCGACUUGAGGCAAUUAGGGGAGAUCGGAAUUCUACGUGUAG
rnacentral:rRNA from 1 species